rnacentral:rRNA from 1 species
AACGCGAAGAACCUUACCCAGGCUUGACAUGCAGUGGAAUAUAGCAGAAAUGUUAUAGCCCUUCGGGGCCGCUGCACAGGUGCUGCAUGGCUGUCGUCAGCUCGUGCCGUGAGGUGUUGGGUUAAGUCCCGCAACGAGCGCAACCCUUAUCAUUAGUUGCCAACACGUGAAGGUGGGAACUCUAAUGAGACUGCCCGGGUUAACCGGGAGGAAGGUGAGGAUGACGUCAAGUCCGCAUGGCCCUUAUGUCUGGGGCUACACACGUGCUACAAUGGUCGGUACAGAAGGCAGCGAAGCCGAGAGGUGAAGCAAAUCCCGAAAGCCGGCCUCAGUUCAGAUUGUAGUCUGCAACUCGACUACAUGAAGUUGGAAUUGCUAGUAAUGGCGAGUCAGCAACAUCGCCGUGAAUACGUUCCCGGGCCUUGUACACACCGGUUCUC